AAACAAGUAAUUGUUAACUAUAGGCUAUUACUUUAUUGCAGUUAUGUUAUCAACCAACUUUACAUGUGUGGAUGAUAGAUUUAUCAUGAACUCUCUAGACUACGAUGGCAGCACCGCGUUCCUGGGAGACUGGGGACCUUUCCAAAGGACGGUGUUCACUCUUUUGUGUUUGAGCAUUAUUCCCAAUGGCUUCACUGGGUUAUCCAUGGUGUUUAUGGGCGAUACACCCGCUCAUCACUGCCUCAUUCCUGCGGCUCUGAACAUCACUGAUGAAUGGAGAAACGUGUCUAUUCCUCUGGAUGAGGAUUCUCGACUCACUAAAUGCUCAAGACACCGAGUGGACAUCGUGAAGAACUAUUCGGACAGAGGUUUGCUCCCGUGGGUGGAUGUGAAUGUCUCGUCCAUUCCUCGAGAAGCCUGCGUGGACGGCUGGGAGUAUGAUAAAGAAACGUACAUCUCCACGAUUGUUACAGAGUGGGAUUUGGUGUGUUCAGAUGACUGGAGAGUUCCAUUGUCCACAUCACUCUUCUUCUGUGGUGUUUUGACUGGUUCUAUGAUCUCUGGACCGAUAUCUGACAGGUUUGGCAGGAAAAUAGUUCUGUUUGUUACCAUGAUGAUUCAGACAGUAUUCACCUUAAUUCAAGUCUUCUCCCCAUCUUGGUUGAUUUUUUGCAUAUUGUUUUUCAUUGCUGGAAUGGGCCAAAUUUCAAACUAUUUGGUAGCAUUUGCUUUAGGAAUGGAAAUAUUGAGCCCAUCCAUUCGUGACCUCUACUCCACUCUUGGCGUGUGUCUUUUCUUUUCAAUUGGGUAUAUGAUGCUUCCACUGGCUGCCUACUUCCUGCGAGACUGGAGAACACUGCUGAUGGCCCUCACCGUCCCUGGAUUCUUCUGCAUAGCCCUUUGGUGGUUUAUUCCAGAGUCUCCUCGAUGGUUGCUGUCUCAAGGGAGGGUUGAUGAGGCCGAGGCAAUUCUGAGAAAGGCUGCCAAGAUGAACGGGGUUAAAGCCCCUGAUGUCAUUUUCCCCCUGCAUCAGUCAAGAGAAAACGCUGGAAGGUUGCAGACCUACAGUCUCUGUGACCUGGUGAAGUCCAGCAACAUCUGCUGCAUUACUGUCCUGCUGUGCCUGGUCUGGUUUUCUGUUUCGAUUGGAUACAAUGCCUUGUCUCUGAACACGUCCAGUCUGCAUGGGAACAUCUACCUGAACUGCUUCCUGUCAGCAGUAGUGGAAGUGCCUGCGCUCAUCAUGGCCUGGCUGAUGCUCCGCCACUGGCCACGCCGCCUCUGCAUGACCUCCACCCUGUCAUUAGGGGGACUGCUGCUUCUCUUCAUACACCUCAUACCAGAACAUAUGAGCUCUGUUACCACUGCUCUGGUGAUGCUGGGAAAGUUCAGUCUGUCGGCAGCCUUUUCGAUCCUGUACCCAGCGACUGCAGAGCUUUACCCCACCAUUGUGAGGAGCACGUCUUUAGGAAUCUGCUCCAUGGCAUCCAGAGUCGGCGGCCUUUCUUCACCAUACUUCAUCUACUUAGGUCACUGAACUCUAGUCUCUAUAAUCUCUUCUAUCUCAUCUCCUAAAUCCUACAUCUACUGUGUAGUUCCUCAUGUAAGGAAGGAUUCUGUCACUCAGAAAGGCUAUCCCACUGGAUCACAUUCACAGAAGCUGGUAUUUUUGUCGCAUUUUCCACUGCAAAUAUCUAAAAAUUCUUAAAAGUUAGCUAUUGUUCGGACACUCUUACUUCUCUACACUAUUGUCUCUCGCCUUUAUGUCAUAUCUUCUCAUUUUAACUUUACCAAUUCAGCACAGUGCUCAAACUGCCACAGACUUCUACUAAAGUUUGCAGUUUUUGAAACAAAUUUACUUGCGGUCCUGUCAGAACUGCCAGAAAACACAGGAAAGCUUCAUCAGUCCAGCACUCUGAUAGCCCUUACAAAAAAUAAGUAUACUUUAAGUUAAUUUUAUUAAGUAUACUUAAGUAAAGUUGUAAUUAUAUUUUUAAGUAUACUUUAUGUAGUAAGAAUACUAAUAUUAUUGUACUAGUAGUAUACUUGCAAAUGAACUGUUUCAAUACUACUUGGGACUAAACUGGCCCACUUUUUAGUGUAUAAGAAUAUACUUUUAAGUAUACUUUAAGUGUAAUAGUAGUAAAUUUUGGUCACACAACUAUUUUACAACUAAGUUUUUCCUUUGUACUGCAUCUGUACUACAAGUGAACGUUACAGGUAUCUAUUUACUAGUCAAAUACUUGUAGUACAUUUUUUUAGUUUAUGAAAGUACACUUUGAAGUGUACUCUCAGUAAACUACUAGUUUAGUAGUUUUAUACUGCAAGUAUACUUGUAAGUUUUAUUUAGGUGAACACAACAUCAUUCCUAUAGUUAACUAUUUCUAUAUUAUUUUACAUUUAAGGUUGCUACUAUGUUCCUAUUUAGGUAUUAAUUUUUAUACUUGAAACGUACUGUAUGUUUAUGGUCUAAAUACAUUGCUACACAAAACAUGCAAAAUGAGAGGACUGAACUUUAUUGACAACUUCAGUCUUUUCUGGAUUAAAAGACAACUGCUUACAGACGGCCUCCACCCAAACAAACAUGGCCACAGGACUUCACAUCAGCACCUGAAUGUGAAUGAUGUAUCCUACAAGGACAAUGAUAACAUCAAGCAGCCACAACAAGCACUGCUCACGGACACAAUCUCAGCUGAGCCUGCCCAAAAAUGUUCUUUACAGAGAGACUGUGACGAACUACAACUGCUACAAGUUGCGACACCCAAGGAUAACCUCUAGGAAAAGUGGGGGAAGACAGGAUAACAUAUUUAAGCUCCAAUCGCACCAGAGCCACAGCCCCUCUCACCAGACACAUUAUCCUUCUUCCCUGCAUCCCCGCUUCUGAGCUUCUCAGAGAGAAUGAAAGAACCGGUGUAUGCCGGAACCAAACUAUCCCACUCUAUUGCUGCGAGCCCCUAGAUAUCAACCAAAAAGCGGCAAGCCCCGCAACUACCAAAGCCUGUGGGCCCAGCUCGCCCUCCUCCUGUGAGAGAUCUCCCAGCUCGUCCCCACACCCUCCUCCAUCUGUUCUAGGAGGCUACUACAGAUCUUUGCCGUACAUCUUAAUCGGCAGUCUGAAUAUUCUCUCUGGGUUGCUUUACCUUCUGCUUCCGGAGAGUCUGGGAUCACCUUUACCAGAGACUAUCAGUCACAUGCAGACAGUGGUU